rnacentral:rRNA from 1 species
UAAGCAUAUCAAUAAGCGGAGGAAAAGAAACUAACGAGGAUUCCCCUAGUAACUGCGAGUGAAGCGGGAAAAGCUCAAAUUUGAAAUCUGGCAGUCUCUGGCUGUCCGAGUUGUAAACUAGAGAAGUGUUACCCGCGUUGGACCGUGUACAAGUCUCCUGGAAUGGAGCGUCAUAGAGGGUGAGAAUCCCGUCUUUGACACGGACUACCAAGGCUUUGUGGUACGCUCUCAAAGAGUCGAGUUGUUUGGGAAUGCAGCUCAAAAUGGGUGGUAAAUGCCAUCUAAAGCUAAAUAUUGGCGAGAGACCGAUAGCGAACAAGUACCGUGAGGGAAAGAUGAAAAGAACUUUGGAAAGAGAGUUAAACAGUACGUGAAAUUGCUGAAAGGGAAACGCUUAAAGUCAGUCGCGUCGGCUUGGAAUCAACCUUGCUUUUGCUGGGUGUACUUCCUUGUCGAUGGGUCAACAUCAGUUUUGACCGGUGGAUAAAGUCAGUCGGAAUGUGGCUCCCUCGGGAGUGUUAUAGCCUUCUGUCGCAUACAUCGGUUGGGACUGAGGACCGCAGCACGCCGUAAGGCCUGGUUUCGACCAAGUUCGUGCUUAGGAUGUUGGCAUAAUGGCUUUAAUCGACCCGUCUUGAAACACGGACCAAGGAGUCUAACAUGCCUGCGAGUGUUUGGGUGGUAAACCCUUGCGCGUAAUGAAAGUGAAAGUUGAGAUCCCUGUCGUGGGGAGCAUCGACGCCCAGACCAGAGCUUUUGUGACGGAUCUGCGGUAGAGCAUGUGUGUUGGGACCCGAAAGAUGGUGAACUAUGCCUGAAUAGGGUGAAGCCAGAGGAAACUCUGGUGGAGGCUCGUAGCGAUUCUGACGUGCAAAUCGAUCGUCAAAUUUGGGUAUAGGGGCGAAAGACUAAUCGACC